CAGCAGCCGCGGGAAAACGGAGGGUGCAAGCGUUAAUCGGAAUUACUGGGCGUAAAGCGUGCGUAGGCGGUUCGUUAAGUCUGUUGUGAAAGCCCCGGGCUCAACCUGGGAAUGGCAAUGGAUACUGGCGAGCUAGAGUGUGUCAGAGGAUGGUGGAAUUCCCGGUGUAGCGGUGAAAUUCGUAGAUAUUCGGAAGAACACCUGUGGCGAAGGCGGCUCACUGGACGCGUAUUGAUGCUGAGGUGCGAAAGCGUGGGGAGCAAACAGGAUUAGAUACCCGCGUAGUCCCUGUCUCUUAUAC
rnacentral:rRNA from 1 species